GAUGAGUUUGCGUACCAUUAGCUUGUUGGUGGGGUAAAGGCCUACCAAGGCAACGAUGGUUAGCUGGUCUGAGAGGAUGAUCAGCCACACUGGAACUGGAACACGGUCCAGACUCCUACGGGAGGCAGCAGUGAGGAAUUUUGCGCAAUGGGGGCAACCCUGACGCAGCAACGCCGCGUGAGUGAAGAAGGCCUUUGGGUCGUAAAGCUCUGUCAACAGGGAAGAAGUUACAAUUGUUUAAUAGAUGGUUGUAUUGACGGUACCUGUGGAGGAAGCGCCGGCUAACUCCGUGCCAGCAGCCGCGGUAGUACGGGGGGCGCAAGCGUUAUUCGGAAUUAUUGGGCGUAAAGGGCGCGCAGACGGUCUUGUCCGUCAGGUGUGAAAGCUCGGGGCUCAACCCCGGAAGUGCACUUGAAACAGCAAGACUUGAAUACGGGAGAGGAAAGCGGAAUUCCUGGUGUAGAGGUGAAAUUCGUAGAUAUCAGGAGGAACACCGAUGGCGAAGGCAGCUUUCUGGACCGAUAUUGACGCUGAGGCGCGAAGGCGUGGGUAGCAAACGGGAUUAGAUACCCCGGUAGUCCACGCAGUAAA
rnacentral:rRNA from 1 species